AGUGAAGGUUAGAUUAGUCAAUCAGCUGAGUUGUUCAGUGACGCAUGUUAUCUGAAAUAUUGUUAUCUAAACUGUACAGACAUCAUAUCUAACAUUUGGAGUUACAGAGAAUUGCUCUACUGGAACCCAGGAAGAUGUAAAAUAAUGGACAGAAAUCUUUACAUUGAUCGAUAUUCAUAUUUUGAUCUCGAAAUUUAAAAUUAUUUCGAGUUUGUCUUAAGAUGCUGUACAUUUUAAUGGCUCCAGAAGAAAAAACUUAAGAUGAUUUUAGAGUUAAACAUUGAAUAUACGAAAAACUGACCAGUAGA